CAUAGGUUAAUGAGGCGAACCGGGGGAACUGAAACAUCUAAGUACCCCGAGGAAAAGAAAUCAACCGAGAUUCCCCCAGUAGCGGCGAGCGAACGGGGAGCAGCCCAGAGCCUGAAUCAGUGUGUGUGUUAGUGGAAGCGUCUGGAAAGGCGCGCGAUACAGGGUGACAGCCCCGUACACAAAAAUGCACAUGCUGUGAGCUCGAUGAGUAGGGCGGGACACGUGGUAUCCUGUCUGAAUAUGGGGGGACCAUCCUCCAAGGCUAAAUACUCCUGACUGACCGAUAGUGAACCAGUACCGUGAGGGAAAGGCGAAAAGAACCCCGGCGAGGGGAGUGAAAAAGAACCUGAAACCGUGUACGUACAAGCAGUGGGAGCACGCUUAGGCGUGUGACUGCGUACCUUUUGUAUAAUGGGUCAGCGACUUAUAUUCUGUAGCAAGGUUAACCGAAUAGGGGAGCCGAAGGGAAACCGAGUCUUAACUGGGCGUUAAGUUGCAGGGUAUAGACCCGAAACCCGGUGAUCUAGCCAUGGGCAGGUUGAAGGUUGGGUAACACUAACUGGAGGACCGAACCGACUAAUGUUGAAAAAUUAGCGGAUGACUUGUGGCUGGGGGUGAAAGGCCAAUCAAACCGGGAGAUAGCUGGUUCUCCCCGAAAGCUAUUUAGGUAGCGCCUCGUGAAUUCAUCUCCGGGGGUAGAGCACUGUUUCGGCAAGGGGGUCAUCCCGACUUACCAACCCGAUGCAAACUGCGAAUACCGGAGAAUGUUAUCACGGGAGACACACGGCGGGUGCUAACGUCCGUCGUGAAGAGGGAAACAACCCAGACCGCCAGCUAAGGUCCCAAAGUCAUGGUUAAGUGGGAAACGAUGUGGGAAGGCCCAGACAGCCAGGAUGUUGGCUUAGAAGCAGCCAUCAUUUAAAGAAAGCGUAAUAGCUCACUGGUCGAGUCGGCCUGCGCGGAAGAUGUAACGGGGCUAAACCAUGCACCGAAGCUGCGGCAGCGACGCUUAUGCGUUGUUGGGUAGGGGAGCGUUCUGUAAGCCUGUGAAGGUGUGCUGUGAGGCAUGCUGGAGGUAUCAGAAGUGCGAAUGCUGACAUAAGUAACGAUAAAGCGGGUGAAAAGCCCGCUCGCCGGAAGACCAAGGGUUCCUGUCCAACGUUAAUCGGGGCAGGGUGAGUCGACCCCUAAGGCGAGGCCGAAAGGCGUAGUCGAUGGGAAACAGGUUAAUAUUCCUGUACUUGGUGUUA
rnacentral:rRNA from 1 species